rnacentral:rRNA from 1 species
AUUGGGCGUAAGGGCUCGCAGGCGGUUUCUUAAGUCUGAUGUGAAAGCCCCCGGCUCAACCGGGGAGGGUCAUUGGAAACUGGGGAACUUGAGUGCAGAAGAGGAGAGUGGAAUUCCACGUGUAGCGGUGAAAUGCGUAGAGAUGUGGAGGAACACCAGUGGCGAAGGCGACUCUCUGGUCUGUAACUGACGCUGAGGAGCGAAAGCGUGGGGAGCGAACAGGAUUAGAUACCCUGGUAGUCCACGCCGUAAACGAUGAGUGCUAAGUGUUAGGGGGUUUCCGCCCCUUAGUGCUGCAGCUAACGCAUUAAGCACUCCGCCUGGGGAGUACGGUCGCAAGACUGAAACUCAAAGGAAUUGACGGGGGCCCGCACAAGCGGUGGAGCAUGUGGUUUAAUUCGAAGCAACGCGAAGAACCUUACCAGGUCUUGACAUCCGGGGGUACUCCUAGAGAUAGGACGUCCCCUUCGGGGGCAGAGUGACAGGUGGUGCAUGGUUGUCGUCAGCU